rnacentral:rRNA from 1 species
GAAGCUCAAAUUGUAAAUCGGGAACCCUAAUAGGUUUCCGAAUUGUAGUCUAGAGAUACGUUGCCAGCGAUCGACCGAGGUAUAAAUUUUUUUGGAACAAGGUAUCAUAGAGGGUGAGAAUCCCGUCUGUGACCUCGAGUUCGUCGCGUACGGCACGCAUUCAUUGAGUCGAAUAGCUUGGGAUUGCUGUUCUAAAUUGGUGGUAAAUUUCAUCAAAAGCUAAAUAUUGGCGGAAGACCGAUAGCGAA